rnacentral:rRNA from 1 species
UAGGGAAUCUUCCACAAUGGACGCAAGUCUGAUGGAGCAACGCCGCGUGAGUGAAGAAGGUUUUCGGAUCGUAAAGCUCUGUUGUUGGUGAAGAAGGAUAGAGGCAGUAACUGGUCUUUAUUUGACGGUAAUCAACCAGAAAGUCACGGCUAACUACGUGCCAGCAGCCGCGGUAAUACGUAGGUGGCAAGCGUUGUCCGGAUUUAUUGGGCGUAAAGUGAGCGCAGGCGGAAUGAUAAGUCUGAUGUGAAAGCCCACGGCUCAACCGUGGAACUGCAUCGGAAACUGUCAUUCUUGAGUGCAGAAGAGGGGAGUGGAAUUCCAUGUGUAGCGGUGGAAUGCGUAGAUAUAUGGAAGAACACCAGUGGCGAAGGCGGCUCUCUGGUCUGCAACUGACGCUGAGGCUCGAAAGCAUGGGUAGCGAACAGG